rnacentral:rRNA from 1 species
ACUAAAACUCAAAGAAAUUGACGGGGACCCGCACAAGCGGUGGAGUAUGUGGCUUAAUUCGAUGCAACGCGAAGAACCUUACCUAGGCUUGACAUGCUUGUCGUAUUCUCCCGAAAAGGAGAAGUCGCUUCGGGCGGACAAUGCACAGGUGCUGCAUGGCCGUCGUCAGCUCGUGUCGUGAGAUGUUUGGUUAAGUCCAGCAACGAGCGCAACCCCUGUGAACUGUUGCCAGCGGAUAAUGCCGGGGACUCUGUUCAGACUGCCCAGAUCAACUGGGAGGAAGGUGGGGACGACGUCAGGUCAGUAUGGCCCUUACGCCUAGGGCUGCACACGUACUACAAUGCCCAGCACAAUGAGAACCAAUACCGCGAGGUGGAGGAAAUCUGUAAAACUGGGCCCAGUUCGGAUUGGAGGCUGCAACUCGCCUCCAUGAAGUUGGAAUCGCUAGUAAUGCCGUAUCAGCUACGACGGCGUGAAUACGUUCCCGGGUCUUGUACACACCGCCCGUCACAUCAUGGAAGUCGGUCGCACCCGAAGUAUAUGCGCUAACUUUCGAGAAGCAGUAUCCUAAGGUGAGGCUGGUAACUGGGAUGAAGUCGUAACAAGGUAGCCGUAGGGGAACCUGCGGCUGGAUCACCUCCUUU